GUGUGUGUGUGUGUGUGUGUGUGUGUGUGUGUGUGUGUGUGUGUGUGUGUGCGCGCGCGCGCGCGCGUGGUUAUUGAUCUAUCAGUUCAAUAAAACAACAUGAAUACCUGAAAAGAAAAUCAAUUUGCCCGACUCUGAAACAUCACAGAGGGUUUAGUAGAGCAUGAUGAAGACCUCUGGAUGAAGCAGGAUGGAAGCAGAGAACUCAGUGUGUGAGGAACAAGAAAAAUCCAGACUCAGAAGACCUGAGGUUACAGGAUGGGAUGUUAGAAGAACAUCUCCAGAAUCUCUCCAGAACUUUACAGUGCAGCCCAACUGCAGAACUCCAGACAGGACGUUUUGAAGACAUGAAUAAUAAUUCCUGCGACAGGAUCAGAGAGGGAAACUUGGAGUUCUGAGAUGUUUCUGAGGUGGAAAAGUGGAUGGAUUUAUUGUAGAAACCACAGCAUGCUUGAGAACCUGCAUGCUUUUCAGAAUAACAACUCAACAGGAUCUCCUACCUGCCUUCUUUUACAAACUAUUAAACAGUGAUUCGAUAAAAGAAAUAUAAUACAUGCUGUUUUCUAGACCUGAAGAAGGCAUUGAACAAACGUAUCCCCGUGUCUUCAUCUUAAACUCUCCAAAUAUGAUCCAUGUAAAAUGAAUCUUCAUGGUUGGAAUCAUCGUUGUUCCUGAUAACCUCCUACAACCAUUUUAGGUUCUAGUUGAUAUAUCAAGCUUCCUCCAGACCCGUGUCCUGAUAUCAACCUUCAGAUUGUCCAUGUUGUGGUAAAAACUCGGGAUGCUGUUGCAGAAAAGCUAAAUUGUAGUUUGGAGAAAGUGUCAGCGUGGCUGGAGGCCUCAUGUUUAAUUCUGUGCACUAAGAAACUGACGGUUUUCUGCUUUUCUCUUCAAAACAUCAGCUGGUUGGUGCUUUCAGAUUUGCUGAGUCCAUGGAUGGCAGGCACAAAGUUCUCCAGACCUCCCAUUAGCCUGUUCCUGAAGGCAGUGGAAGCCUUUUACAACCCUGCAGUGACUCACCAGUGUUCAUCUACAUGGCAGUAGGUUAUCCUGCUACUGAAUGAGAGGACCAAAAUCUGAUGUGAGCUUGUGUUGCUUUAUAAGACCAGGCUACAGAGGUCUACCAGCUGUAGGUCUACAGCUGAUUAGGAUGUCCAGAGACUGGUAUUCAAUGUGCAGACCAGACAUUCCAGGAAAAAUCGGGAAAUCCAAAGCCAACACAACCAAAACUUGGUUGAAAAUGUCUCUAGUUUGUUCCAACAUUUUUAAAUCUGAGAUGCCUGGUACCACCUCCAGAGGACUAAUUUCUGCUGGAGACCAGAAAGCUCCUCCUCCAAAAUGGUCAGGAAGGUGCAGACAUGUUGGGGGUCCAGGAACACUGAAGCAGCUCGGCAGUAAGUAGCACCAUCAUGAACACUGUCUUGGUUGGUUAGCUCUGCAGAUUAAAUAAAUAUACAGACGUAGUUGAUUUUUCUGCAUGUGUGCUUCCCUGCAGCCCCUCGGGGAGCAGCUGGUUCUGCUUAUCAGCUCUAACAAGGUGUCAUGCUGUAAAUUCUUCCCUGACAGAUGUGGAGGGUCGUCUUUAUUUGCACUAAUUAGGCUUUACUGGAUUUCCAGAAGAAACAAAAGAGUGGGCCAUGACAGAAAGACAGCUAGCUGGCUCUACAUGCAGCACCAUGGAGCUACAGGUCCAGUAAGCUGCUCGAUUUCUGGAACCCAUCCUGCCUUCCUCUGAAGACCAUAACCAAACCGGACAAACAGUUCCUUGGCUGUUCCCUGCAGUAUCCAACCACUCCUUCCUGCCAGCCCACUCUCCCAUGGACAAACUGACUCUGACACCCAGAUCCUAACCCUCCUCAUCGUUGCUAAUCCUCCGAGCGUCCUUCCGAGCCUAGCACUACUCCUGGCUCCUGCUCCAGUUUUUGGUAGAUGAAUGUGUUCCUGUGAAAAAUAAAACCUGUUACAAACGUUACUGGUUUCUGCUCAUGGUUCUGCAUGUGGAUCAGGAAAAUUACAAGCCAAAAUGUCAAUUUCAUCCUUAAAGUUUAUUUGGUCACCUAAAGAUUAGUGAACGUGAUGUGAAUCUAUGCUGCUCUAAAAAACUGAAAUCCCCCAAAUCUUGAUUAAAGAAAGAUGGACGCAAUUGCCCACUUCAUUAUGACGGCCUGGAUCAGAACUGACCUUAGAUGGACUGGCUGAUUGUCUCCUGAACAAUAAGUCAGUCUGAUGCUGGAAAUGUUUCUUCUCUGUUCUCCUUUGUUCUGUUUUUCUGCUCUGGUCUCAGAUCUGACCGGUUCUGUCCUUUUCUCCGUUUGACUCUGUCCUAAACAAAAUUAUCUGUCCACACUGAUCUCUGCUCAGCAGCAGGAGCGAGGGCUUUCCUUUUCUGCUCAAAGACCAAUUUAUGUCACUGCUGGUCUCAAAUGUACGUGAUCAAGAGACAGAGAUUCUUAUUUAGCCAAAGCUGCAGAUGUUCUGGAGUUGUUGGAGUUCAGGAUUUGUUGACACUGAACAGUUUGGACAACUGAAGAUCUCCACAGCUUGGCCUGGAAAGAUCCAACUCUGUCUACCUCCAUUUAAUCCAACUAACAAUUA